rnacentral:rRNA from 1 species
CAAUAGCGUAUAUUAAAGUUGUUGCAGUUAAAAAGCUCGUAGUUGGAUUUCUGGUUGAAGCGACCGGUCGGGCGUUGAUUCGUCUGCACUGGAGUCGGUUUUGGCCAUCCUCUAGGAAAGUGCGUCUGAUAUUAAGUUAUCGGGCGUAUGAUCCUGGUCUUUUACUGUGAAAAAAUUAGAGUGUUUAAAGCAGGCCUUCGCCUUGAAUACAUUAGCAUGGAAUAAUAAGAUAGGACUUUGGUCUAUUUUGUUGGUUUGCAGACCGAAGUAAUGAUUAAUAGGGAUAGUUGGGGGUAUUUAUAUUCCGAUGUCAGAGGUGAAAUUCUUAGAUUUUCGGAAGAUAAACUUAUGCGAAAGCAUUUACCAAGGAUGUUUUCAUUAA